rnacentral:rRNA from 1 species
CUACGGGCCGCUGCAGUGGGGAAUAUUGGGCAAUGGGCGAAAGCCUGACCCAGCAACGCCGCGUGAAGGAAGAAGGUUUUCGGAUCGUAAACUUCUAUCCCGGGUGAAGAUAAUGACGGUAGCCCGGAAGGAAGCCCCGGCUAACUACGUGCCAGCAGCCGCGGUAAUACGUAGGGGGCAAGCGUUGUCCGGAAUGAUUGGGCGUAAAGGGCGCGUAGGCGGCCUUUUAAGUCCGGUGUGAAAGUCCUGCUUUUAAGGUGGGAAUUGCAUUGGAAACUGGAAGGCUUGAGUGCAGGAGAGGUAAGUGGAAUUCCCGGUGUAGCGGUGAAAUGCGUAGAGAUCGGGAGGAACACCAGUGGCGAAGGCGACUUACUGGACUGUAACUGACGCUGAGGCGCGAAAGUGUGGGGAGCAAACAGGAUUAGAUACCCGAGUAGUC